CCAACCUACGGGAGGCAGCAGUGGGGAAUAUUGGACAAUGGGCGCAAGCCUGACCCAGCAACGCCGCGUGAAGGAAGAAGGCUUUCGGGUUGUAAACUUCUUUUAAGAGGGAAGAGUAGAAGACGGUACCUCUUGAAUAAGCCACGGCUAACUACGUGCCAGCAGCCGCGGUAAUACGUAGGUGGCAAGCGUUGUCCGGAUUUACUGGAUGUAAAGGGCGUGGAGCCGGGCCGGCAAGUCAGAUGAGAAAUCCCAAGGCUCAACAUUGGAACUGCAU
rnacentral:rRNA from 1 species